rnacentral:rRNA from 1 species
AUUGAACGCUGGCGGCGUGCCUAACACAUGCAAGUCGAGCGGUAACAGGUGUAGCAAUACAUGCUGACGAGCGGCGAACGGGUGAGUAAUGCUUUGGAAUCUUCCCAGUAGUGGGGAAUAACCAGUCGAAAGAUUGGCUAAUACCGCAUACGUCUGUAAAGGGAAAGCGGGGGACUCGCCUCUUCUUCGGAAGAGAGGCCUCGCGCUAUUGGAUGAGCCAAAGACGGAUUAGCUAGUUGGUGGGGUAAGUAGGCCUACCAAGGCGACAAUCCGUAGCUGGUCUGAGAGGACGACCAGCCACACCGGAACUGAGACACGGUCCGGACGUCCUACGGGAGGCAGCAGU